rnacentral:rRNA from 1 species
CUUCCCCAAGAGUCCAUAUCGACGGGAUGGUUUGGCACCUCGAUGUCGGCUCGUCGCAUCCUGGGGCUGGAGUCGGUCCCAAGGGUUGGGCUGUUCGCCCAUUAAAGCGGUACGCGAGCUGGGUUUAGAACGUCGUGAGACAGUUCGGUCCCUAUCCGCUGUGCGCGUAGGAAUAUUGAGAAGGGCUGUCCCUAGUACGAGAGGACCGGGACGGACGAACCUCUGGUGUGCCAGUUGUUCUGCCAAGGGCAUGGCUGGUUGGCUACGUUCGGAAAGGAUAACCGCUGAAAGCAUCUAAGCGGGAAGCCUGCUUCGAGAUGAGUAUUCCCACCCUCUUGAAGGGUUAAGGCUCCCAGUAGACGACUGGGUUGAUAGGCCAGAUGUGGAAGCCCGGUAACGGGUGGAGCUGACUGGUACUAAUAGGCCGAGGGCUUGUCCUCAGUUG